GUGUCCUCCCUACUCUACAGAAAGUCGGCAUUUGCCUCUCCAGCGUGUUGUUCUUGUUCAGAUUGCUGGAAUUUUCCAUCGCUGUUUCACUUGCACAUUUUGGAUGCCAGGCAACUUGCUGUGCUAAUGACCAGGCAGCCAUGGGUUUUGUGCCUUACCAAGUAAUCAGCGGAUAUGCACCAGUCUCAACUGAAACAAAUUCAUCCUCUCCACCAGCCUAUGACCAGCCAGAGUAAGAAAAAACAACAAACCCUGGAAGGAAUUGUGAGAAGUGUUGCACCAGUGGUGAUAGGAGAAGCAAUUCAUAUUAUAUUGUUUUAUUUUAUUCACUAGCUUGUUUAUUUUUCAAUUGCAGCCUUUAAGCACCACACUGAAUGGUGGCAAGUUUUAAAAGAACUUUUUUUUUCAUCAUUGUUAGAAGCAAGCAGCAAGAAUUUUUGAUGAUGUAUACAGUUUAUUAGUUCUUUGUUUAUAUUCUGGAUUGCAUUUAUUUUUUCUGAUGUAUUAUGAAGGAGGUCUGAUGUUACAGAAAAGAGGAAAAAAACACCUAGCAAAAUUGGAACACAAGUGAUUGGUAAACAAGUCAUUGGCAAUAGAAAUGUUAAUAGCAGUUACAUACAAUAAUUACUCUGAUCCCAAAGAGAUUAGUAGAAGUUUGCAUACAUUUAAAGUCAAGUCUGUAGAGUGUUUGAUACUGUUAUUUCCUAUAUAUAUACAAUAAAACUGAAUUAGUAGUGCUAA